rnacentral:lncRNA from 1 species
AAUCGAUAAAAUAGGAAAAUAUAUUAAGGAUAAUGGGCAUCUAAUUGCUCACUGCUGGAAAAGACAGUUACUGAUACAGAAAUAGAGAAAACCUGAAUAUAUCCUGUCGUGUUAGGAAUUAGAUGUAUUGCUGUGAACUCAUGGUUUUCAGUGUGUGCAUGUGUUCUCAAGCUUGUUUCAAGGCAGCUGCCCAGAAGCAGAUCCAGACCUUGCCUUUUACACCCUGUGUAUGGCUAAAAGGAACCAGGGAUCCUUGGAGAGAUAGUUAAUUCCAGGUCUGAGACAGGGAAGAUGGAGAACCUUUUCUAUUGUUUAUUUUUACCAGCACGAAAGGAAAUGAUCAAAGAAUAAUGUAGACCUGUCCAAAGGACUCCAAAGCCAGCUUAAAGGGGAUCCUGCUGACCAAAAUGGAAAUAACUUAAGAAUCAAUAUAAAUAGUGAAAAUAAUUAUAACUCAUUGAAUAAAAUAGUGAACAAUGUAUCAAAAAUUACAUAGAUGAAUAAUUAAGUUUGAUAAAUAGGAUAUUUAUAUGGUUUCAAAAUGCCUCCUUGAAAAAUAUUUACUAAUUUGGAAGAGUAACUUCAAAGUGGAGAAUAAUGAUUUAUACCACCUUCGGAACAUCAUUAGAAAUGAGAUAAUUCAGAAUUAUGUGCCUCUUGAUAGCAUGCAGUGAAAGAGCACAGCAUCACUCAGUCCUACCAAAGAUCAUAACUGAGUCCAAUCACGAGAAGACAUUAGAAAAACUAAACUUGAGGGACUUUUUUAAACAAAAUACCUGACUUGUAAUCUUUGGAAAUAUCCAGGUUAUGAAAGACAAGGAAUGAUUGAGAAACUGUUCUGGAUUAAAGAAGAUGAACAAAGCUUGCCAGUAGACGCAAAGCUUGAUUCUGAACUGGAUUUAUGAUUGGGACACCUGGCAAAACACUGAAUGGGAUCCAAGGAAUAGGUGAUGGUGAUGAAGCAAUGUUACUUUCCUGAUUGGGAUGAUUGCUUUGUGAUGUGUAGGUGAAUGUCCUUGUGAGGAAUACUAAAAUACUUGAAAGUGAUGAGCCCUGUGUCAACAAGGUCCUCUAAUAGGUCAAGAUAAAAUAGGUCUUUGUAUUGCCCUUUCAACUUUUCUGUAAGUUGAAGGAAGAAAAAGGAUUUAUAGAGAAGACAUGGUGUUCAGUCUUGCCUGGGAUGAUAAAUGAACCACAGUAAAAAGAAAAGUAAAAAAUUAUUUGGGACAUGGAGAAAAUGAAGAUAAACAUUUGGAGAUUUUCUAGAUGGACGUACAUAUUAGGUGAUUAUUCAUUCUGAAGAGACUAGCCUCUUUGGAAAGUAAUUCUUGAUCAGGUAGAAGAGGGAGGGGGUGUCUAAUUAUCCUGUUUGUUCUGUUGUAGAAUAAGUCAUUCUUUUUUUCAGGGCCUUGGGGGAAAGCACUGCUGGGUCAGGAAGAAUUAGAAGGAAUAUGGUACUCUCCAUUUCAGAAGGGGAAGUGUUGGGAUUGUGAUGUGCAAAACUGAACUCUGAGUCUUAAUUUCUGUUUCCUGCCAGUACGUGUUUAGAUGAGAGAGAGUGGUUCUUGACUCAGUGUCUUUGUAAUUUUAUUGUGUUGUAUAAUAGAAUUUCCUUUUUCUUAGGAAACUCUCUCAAGUAUUUAAGAGUGUAGGGGCAUGAGGCAUCCAACUUACUCCCAACUAAUUUAGAGUUAGAGGUGAUAAAGGAAAUGGGCAAAAUGUAAACAGUUGGUGAGUCCAGGAAAAGGGUACUUAAGAGUUCCUUGUAUUAUACUUGAAGCUUUUCUCUCAGUUUGAAGUCUUUUUUAAAAAAAUAUCAGAAUUGUUGGGGGAAUAGGAAUCAGUAAUGGCAUUGUCUCUGUCCGGUAGAUCUGAGAGGUAACGUAGGCUAAGAGCAGAGAUGUUGGCGAUAACUGAGGAUUAAUUUAAGAAUUUAUUAAGAAUUUAUGACUGUGCUGAAGACACAGGUUUGAACCCUGGCCUCUCUCAGUGGGUUAAGGAUCUGGUGUUGCCAAGAACCAUGGUGUAGUUUGCAGACAUGGCUUGGAUCUGGCAUUGCUGUGGCAUAUAGGUCAGCAGCUACAGCUAAGAUUCAACCCCUAGCCUGGAAACCCUCACAUGCCAGAGGUGUGGCCCUAAAAAAAAAAAGCCAAGAGAAAAUUCAUGAAUGUGCUUUUGGUAACUUAUAAAGUCAAGGGCUAUGCAAGGGUUUAUAGGGUCACUAUAAACUUGACAAAAGACUAAAACAGGAAGUUACUGGAUUUGAAACAUGAGGAAGAAUAGGAUUUGGGGCUACCCAAGAAUUCCUUAGUCUGACAUCCAUUGAAAUGCUCUGGAGGUUUGAGGACAUUUAAGUGGGUAGAAACAGGUACUAUAGUUGAUGUGACAAUUUGAUUUUGAUCCUAGCUUAUGUAUGUAUUAAAGCAAAAUUCACAGUUCUAAGCCCUGGGAUGGCCUUAUAACCAUAAGGUAUAAAGAGGAAGUAAAAGUACAUUAAAGCCUUUACAAUAUUUUAUAACUUCCAUGUAGGAAAGAGAGGAAUAAACACAGAUCAAAUGGAAAAAAUGACAACAUCAUUUGCUACAGUUUCAGAAGAAUCUUGAAGAUUAUUCGGAGGAAAGGGACUUAUAUUGGUAAAGAAGAAUGGGCAUUGGGCAAAAACAGUGAACUCUAAGUGUCAAGAACAUGACAUGCCUAUUGGAAAGUCUCCCAGAAGGAAUGUAACUACUGAUACUCAGGCUGUGAUUUACAAAGAAAGUCUGUCUUGCUAAAAUGAAAUUUAUUAAUAAAUAAGUGUCCUUGGGAAAAAAACUAAACUUUAUUUUUAUCAGUGCCAUCUCUCAGAGCCAUGACAGGGAUUAAUCCCCCAUCAUCUAAAGUCAAGGACAGGGAUAAAAAACCAUCUAAGAGAAAGGGUGGCUGCAGGAACCUCAAAGCACCAACCACCUGGAAAAAUAAAGAAGCCCUCUUUUAAAUAAGAUCCCUUGACACCUGUCUGGGAUCUGACUACAGGUUCCCUUGAGAUACUUAAGAAGUUUUGAGUAAAAGAAACCCCAGAGAGCAGGGCUAGUCAACAUGGUUUUCCUUGGAGAUUCCUGUCUUGAUGUCUGAGUUUAUAGGUGCUUCUUCUCUUCUUACAGACAGAGCUUCCAGGCCAGUGUCUGUGUCAUGUGUGACUCUUUCUCUAAGCUGCAGCCCUAUCUAGAGAGAAAGUAAGUGAUUGUGAGAUUAUACAUCCUUGAAGAAGCACCAGGGGUUUUGAUUAUUGUAGAUGCUUUUAGAUUUUAUCUGUUUGGUGUUGGGCAUUCCUAUAUGUCCUUAACUUGAGCAGGCUCUAGUCCCUCUUGAACCUGCCUCCCUUUGGGGCUAGGAUCUGGGGUUCUAGGAUGGGAAACAUGAUUUGUUGUAAGUAUCAAAUUCUGCAAUAGUUUCUUUCCUUAUAAUUGCAAUUCUUUGUCUUUUUAAACUGUCCCUUUUUCCCCUUUUAUUUGGGAUAUAAUCUUUAUGAUUAAAGCAUUUGCUAUAUUAUCUUUUCAUUAUAUGAUUCCAUUUCAGUGUUCUUAUUUUCCCACGAGGAUAAUCAACAAAUAAUAUUUCUCUCUCUCACUCAUCUUUCAGUGUCUCAUACUAUGUUUUCUUCUUUGUUGACUUAAAAAAAAAUCUUGCACGGCUUCUUCCUAUGACAGAGUCAUAUUAAGAAUAAUUUUAAGUGGUUUGUCCAAUACUACAUUUUGACAUUGACAGAUUCCAGAUUAGGUUCCAGAUUCCCCAAAUCCCAGCCAGUUCCCAUGUUUCUUACACUGAGUGCCUAAGGAGCUGUGGAUGAAGCAGUGACAGAGAUAGAAUCUUAAUUGUGGCCAAGUGAGAAUUGUUUUAAAAAUCAACUUAAUUGAGGUGUAAUAUGUUACAUAAUAUUGGACUAUACAGUAUUGUAUGACAUGAUAAAUACCAUGCAAUGUAAGUAAUAUUACAAAAUGCACUAAUUUAAGUGUACAUUUUGUUGAAUUUGGUAAAUGUAUGUACCUAUGUAACUACCAUCACAAUAGAGAACAUUUCCUUCAUCCCCAAAUGUUCCCUUGUGUUCUUUCUCAAUUUCCUAACAAUUCUGGCAGCCACUGCUUGCUUUCUUGCAAUAUAGAUUAAAAUUACAUUUAGAAUGUUCUAUAAAUAGAAUCACAUUGUACACCCUGUUUUGUAGGGAACUUCUUUGACUCAGUAUAAUGUUUUUAAGGCUCAGUCAUGCUGUUCGUAUUAGAAAUCUUUGCCUUUUUUUUUUUUUUUAUUGCUGAGCAGUAUUUCAUUGUCUGGGUAUGCUGUAAACACUGGAGUUUCCAGUUUUUUGGCUUUUAGAACUAAGCUGCUAGGAACAUUCAUGUACGUGUCUCUGUGUGAACACGUUUUAAUUUCUCUUAUGUAAAUAUUUAGGAAAAAUAUUGUGUUAUGGGAUAAGUAUACAUUUACCAUUUGAAAAAUCUGCUGAACUGUUUUACAAAUUGGUUAUACCAUUUUAUAUUGUCACCAUCAAUGUUUGAGUUCCAAUUCUUUCACUUCCCUGACAAUAUUAGGUGUUACGUUUUUAAUUUUAGCCAUUUGAGCGGGUGUAUAGUGGUAACUCAUGGAGUAAUUUUAUUUCUCUAUGAUGGCUAAUGAUGUUAUAAGGUCGAGCAUCCUUUCAUGUACUUAUUGACCAUGUGUAUAUCUCCCUUUGUAAAAUGUCUAAUAAAUAUUUUUCCAGUUUAAAAAAUGUGUUGUAGUAUUGAGCUAUAAGAAUUCUUUAUAUAUUCUAAGUACAAGUUUAGUAUAUGUAUUACAAAUAUUUUCUCCCAGUCCGUGGCCUUCCUUUUCAUUUUUCUAACAACGUCUUUUUUUUUUUUUGUCUUUUUUAGGGCCACACCCAUGACACAUGGAAGUUCCCAGGCUAUGGGUUGAAUCGGAGCUGCAGCUGCCAGCCUACACCACAACCACAGCAAAGUGGGAUCUGAGCAGAGUCUGCGACUUAACACCACAGCUCACAGCAAUGCCAGAUCCUUAACCCACUGAGUGAUGCCAGGGAUCAAACCUGUGUCUUCAUGCAUACUAGUCAUUCCACUGAGCCUAUGGGCUCCCACUAACAUUUUGAUGAAGUUCAAUUUGUGGUUUUGUCCUGGGUUUAUGCUUUUUAUUUUGUAUCUGGGAACUUUGCUCAUUCUAAGGUCAUGAUUUCAAUACUUUUGGGGGGGGCUAGAAUUUUUAGUUUUAACUUUUAUAUUUGUCUUUGAUUCACUUUGAAUUAUUUUUCAUGUAGGCCAUAAGGUAAAGUUUGAGGUUUAUUUUUUUCAGUAUAGAUACCCAGUUAUUCCAUCAACAUUUGUUCCAUCAACAUUUAUUGAAAAUGCCAUUAUUGAUAUACUUUAGAAUUUUAUAAAAAAUCAGUUGAUCAUGGGAGUUCCCUGGUGGUCUAGUGAUUAGGAUUUAGUACUUUUACCACUGUGGCCUGGGUUCAGCCCCUAGUCUAGGAACUGAGGUGCCACAUCAAG